GGUUUUCUUUCCCUCUCCCACAUACAUUCGCGCAGAACAAACAUUAAACCCUAACUCUCCAAAUCUUGUCUUCCUUCUUCAAUGAAACCCUAACUCACUGAAUUCAAUCGUGUUAUUCCUUCUUCGUUGAAACCCUAACUCACUGAAUCUAAUCGUGUUCUACAAUUUCAUUCUUCUUCGUUCUGCAAUUUCGUUCUUUUUCAUUCUGCAAUUUCGGUUUGGUUCUUCGUUGAGCAGUAGAAGGUUGAUUUUGAAGGCGAUUAGAAGAAGAAAAGAUGAGGCCUGUUUUUCGGUGGGAAUUUGGAAUAUGAUACUCACGGUGAAAAGGUGAUGUAGAGCCCUGGUAUUGCUUUCGAAGAGAAUAUACAGGCUACUAUCCGGGAGCUUGAAGAAUAAGUGAAGCUUCUCAAGAAUCUUAAGCAUCCAAAUAUUGUUAGAUACUUAGGAACUGCUAGAGAGGAAGAUUCCUUAAAUAUUCUGCUUGAGUUUGUACCUGGUGGAUCUAUCUCAUCACUAUUGGGGAAAUUCGGAUCCUUUCCUGAGUCACUUGAAUGCUCAACUUGUUCGUCGCAGACUAAGACAUAUUGCGAUGAGGUUUUACCUUUGCCUAAUGUCCCAUUCUUCUGGAUUUUAUACCGCUCGUAUUCUCAUUGGAGGGCACUUCAGGUUAUAAGAGUGUAUACAAAGCAGCUUUUACUGGGGCUUGAAUAUCUUCAUAAUAACGGAAUUAUUCACAGGGAUAUUAAGGGUGCAAACAUUCUAGUUGAUAACAAAGGGUGUAUUAAACUCGCAAACUUUGGUGCAUCCAGGAAAGUCGUGGAAUUGGCUACCAUAGUACCAUGAAUGGAACAAAGUCUAUGAAUGGUAUCCCACACUUUGCUUCUGAAUAAGAUGAGGUCGAGGUUUCAGCUAUGGUAACCUCUGCUUGAAACUUGCUAAAACUAGUAUGGAAAAGGGUGCUGACUAUCCGAAGAACGAGAUUCAACGUCUUGAGGGCAUGCUUUGAAAUGUAAUUUAUUAAUAUUAUAAAUAUAGCCGUAACAACUCAUAUGAAUAUCAUAUUACGUAGUUUUUAAUUUUGCUUCCGACUUGCAAUAACUAACAUCAAACUGAUGAAGGGAAGAUACAACGGAAAUAACAUUGAUACAAUGGAAAUAUCAUAUUAUGUUUUGUUUUU